rnacentral:rRNA from 1 species
UCUUAGUGGCGGACGGGUGAGUAACGCGUGGGUAACCUGCCUUACACUGGGGGAUAACACUUAGAAAUAGGUGCUGAUACCGCAUAAGCGCACGAAGCCGCAUGGAUUUGUGUGAAAAACUCCGGUGGUGUAAGAUGGACCCGCGUCUGAUUAGCUUGUUGGCGGGGUAACGGCCCACCAAGGCGACGAUCAGUAGCCGGCCUGAGAGGGUGGACGGCCACAUUGGGACUGAGACACGGCCCAAACUCCUACGGAAGGCAGCAG